CCCGAGUAAGGCGGGGCACGUGAAACCCUGUCUGAAUCUACCGGGACCAUCCGGUAAGGCUAAAUACUAGUCAGUGACCGAUAGUGAACGAGUACAGUGAUGGAAAGGCGAAAAGAACAGUGAGAAGCUGAGUGAAAUAGACCCUAAAACCGUUAGCUUACAAUCAGUUAGAGCCCUAUUGAUAGGGUGAUAGCGUGCCUGUUGAAGAAUGAGCCGGCGAGUUAAUUUAUGUUGCGAGGUUAAGGAGUUGAUAUCCGGAGCCAUAGCGAAAGCGAGUUUGAAAAGAGCGUUAAGUAACAUGAAUUAGACCCGAACCUUGGCGAUCUAACCUUGACCAGGAUGAAGCGUGGGUAACACUACGUGGAGGUCCGAACCAACCGAUGUUGAAAAAUCGGUGGAUGAGUUGAGGUUAGGGGUGAAAUGCCAAUCGAGCCAAGAGCUAGCUGGUUCUCCCCGAAAUGCGUUUAGGCACAGCGUUGGACUUAUCUUACCGGAGGUAGAGCACUAGUCUGAUGCGGGCGGCGAAAUGCCGUACCAAAUCAUGUUAAACUCCGAAUACCGGUAAAGUUACUAUCCAGCAGUGAGGCAGCGAGUGCUAAGAUCCGUUGCCAAGAGGGAAACAGCCCAGAACGCCAGUUAAGGUCCCAAAUAUAUGCUAAGUGGUUAAGGAGGUAGAGUUGCUUAGACAACCAGGAGGUUGGCUUAGAAGCAGCCAUUCCUUGAAAGAGUGCGUAAUAGCUCACUGGUCAAGCGACUCCGCGCCGAAAAUACACCGGGACUAAAGCAUAUAACCGAAACUGCGUCAUUAAGUUUACUUAAUGGGUAGGGGAGCGUACUGUAGUAGGACGAAGUAAGAUCGAAAGGACUUAUGGACGAGGCAGUAGUGAGAAUGUCGGCAUAAGUAGCGAAAACAUUGGUGAGAAUCCAAUGCACCGAAAACCUAAGGUUUCCCACGGCAGGCUCGUCCGCGUGGGGUUAGUCGGAUCCUAAGCUGAGGCCGAAAGGCGUAGGCGAUGGGCAUCAGGUUGAUAUUCCUGAACUAUCGAUUAAUCGUUAAUAGAGGCGGAGGGACGCAGGAGGAUAGACAAGCAGCCGACUGGAAGUGGCUGUAAAGAUAUGUAGGUAGAAUGGGUAGGAAAAUCCGCUCAUUCGUUAAAAACUGAGGUAUCGAGUAGGACUCUCUACGGAGGGGAAGUUGUUGAAUCCACACUGCCAAGAAAAGCUUCGCACUUGAGAUUAAUAGGUAUCCGUACCGGAAACCGCCACAGGUAGGUUGGUAGAGAAUACUAAGGUGCGCGAGAUAACUCUCGCUAAGGAACUCGGCAAAAUGACCUCGUAACUUCGGGAGAAGAGGUACCCUGGUAGAGUGAAGCGGUUCACCCGUGGAGCUUGAUAGGGUCGCAGUGAAUAGGCCCAUGCGACUGUUUACCAAAAACACAGGUCUCUGCAAAGUCGAUCAAGACGAUGUAUAGGGGCUGACGCCUGCCCGGUGUCGGAAGGUUACGUGGAAGUGUUAGAAGCAAUUCGAAGCACCGAAACUAAGCCCCGAUGAACGGCGGCCGUAACUAUAACGGUCCUAAGGUAGCGAAAUUCCUUGUCAGGUAAGUUCUGACCCGCAUGAAAGGC
rnacentral:rRNA from 1 species